AUGGAUCUGGACACAGAGAAUCGUCUAGCUUCAUUACUCCUUGAAGAAGCACGGAGAUUACAGUUAGAGGCUGACAGGGAAGGUGUUCAUGCAUAUCUGCGAAAGCCCAAUGUUAGGCAUCGUCCAAACUCCCGUUUCCUCACAGCCACAGUUCGUGGAGUUCAACAAGCAAACCGUGUUGUGGAGGUUGAUGAAAUGUGGCGUGCCAGGGAGAAGGAACUUGAACUUGAGUCUAAGCUGAAAAGAAGAAAUAAAGAGCGUGGUGACUCUAGAGGGGAGAAACGCAAAGGUGACUCGAGAAAUAUGAGUUCCAACUCAAAGAUUGAAGAAGAAACCACUUAUAAUAGUUCUUACUCAGACCAGGAUGAUGGUCUAGGGGAUGAUGAAAUUGAAAAGUUUCUGCAUUCAAGGGUAAAGCGAGGAAGAGGUGCCGUUGGCUCUAGGAUGGAUGAACCUGGUCCAUACCUAAAGGCUUCAUCACAUUGUCGAGACGAAGAACCUAGCCCGGAUAUACGUUUGGAAGAAAAAUGGGAACGGCGAGUACAAGGUCCGGAGAGGCCACUGUUUUUGAGAUCCAAGUCUCCUGAUGAUUGCUGGCAUAAGGAAACAUUGGACGAUAAGCCAUCCAGCUCUUCUGAACCACGCGGAAAAAAGGAAAAUAAAAAGGAGAGGAAAUCAGAGAAAAAAGAGAGAAAGGAGAGAAAAGAUAAGAAGAAAUCUAAGCAUCGGCACCGCCACCACCAUCACAAAAGCCGAAGAAGGGAGUGA
rnacentral:rRNA from 1 species